GACAUACUGACAUACACACAGACAGACGUACUGGCACAUACAGACAGACAUUAAAACAUUCACAGAUACAUACUGACACACACAUACACUGACACACAAAUAUAUCCUGGCAGACAUACUGACACACACGUACACACACACACAGAGACAUACCUACAUACACACACACACAGACAUACUGGCAUACACACAGACAUACUGACACACACACACACACAGACAUACACAGACAUACACACACACACACACACACACACACACACACACACACACACACACACACACACACACACACACACACACACACACACAGACAUACUGGCAUACACACAGACAUACUCACACACACACACACACAGACAUACUGGCAUACACACAGACAUACUGACACACACACACACACAGACAUACUGGCAUACACACAGACAUACUGGCAUACACACAGACAUACUGGCAUACACACACAGUCAUACUGACACACACACACACACUGACACACACACACAGAUAUACUGGCAUACACACAGACAUACUGACACACACACACACACAGACAUACUGGCAUACACACACAGACAUACUGACACACACACACACACACACACACACACUGACACACACACACACAGACAUACUGGCAUACACACAGACAUA